CUUUUUAGCGCCAUCUGUCUCCUGGAGUCCUGGUCGCUCACUGUGCUUUACCAAAAAAAAACAAUUAAUUAGUUCAUAGGCUGGCGAGGAGUCUCCUCUGGUUUGGGGCCAAGAAGCCACCUGCCCCACUGGGCUCUGUCUUUUUCCUGGAACCCUUCCUGCUUCUUUGUUCAGCCUCCCACGGGACAGCGAACUUCAGUGGCAGCGCUGG
rnacentral:lncRNA from 10 species